UACGUAGGGGCAAGCGUUGUCCGGAAUCAUUGGGCGUAAAGCGCGCGUAGGCGGCCAGAUAAGUCCGGUGUGAAAGUCACAGGCUCAACCUGUGAAUGCCGCUGGAAACUGUCUGGCUUGAGUCCGGAAGGGGCGAGUGGAAUUCCUGGUGUAGCGGUGAAAUGCGCAGAUAUCAGGAGGAACACCGGUGGCGAAGGCGGGUCUCUGGGCAGUAACUGACGUGAGGAGCGAAAGCGUGGGGAGCGAACAGG
rnacentral:rRNA from 1 species